AUUACUGGAAAAUUAAUCUAUUUUGAUAAUCCUUUAAUCAUUUGAGUCAUUUUCAAGCAAAAAUGCCAAACAUCUGCUCGGUUCAAACUUCUCAAAUGUGAGGAUUUUUAUGAUAAAUGUCUGAACCUAUCUGUGUUUAAGGCGGUUGACCAGACAAAACAAGCGAUUUAAAAGAUGUCAACUCGGCCUCUGGGACACCAAACUUUCAAAAUGUGCAAACAGACGACAAAAAUAAAUAAAUCCCACAGUGCUGCCCACAGCUAUCAGUGAUCUUUCAGCUCUCCAGCAAGGUUAGAUCCUGCCCCAAGGCUAGUGUGUCUGUCUGUCUGUCUGUAUGGGUAUGCUACAACCCUUCAGGGGUGGUACGAUGACCCAGUUUCACUGCAGUUAACAAAAAAAAAAAAGAUGGCAGUGAAGACCUGGCUUGCUUGGGCUGCUCUCACACACAGUUUGGAGCGGUCCUCUUGUUAAAGCAAAACGAGAAGCAGAAAGGACAGCAGGAGAGCAGAAAAAAAGGCGAGCGCUGGCACAUAUCUCCCCUCAUCUCUCCUCCCGACAGGCUGAUUUCUGGAUGGCUUCCCGAGGAGAAUUACCUCCGAACCUACUGAAGUGGAACCAUGCAGGAUUGGAUUGGCACAGGACAAAGCAAUUCUCUGCCGUUCCCAUUUGAAGUUUGAAUCCGCAGCCAGGAGGAAAAAAAACUGGGGGCUGAAAGCCUGUUGCCGUACAUCAGUGUUUACAGAAAUGCCUUUUCAAAGCUAAAAUAGGCUAAUUAUUCAAGCCCUAUUAGGUAGCAUCAUGAGCUAUUACAAGUUAUCAUAACUGAGCACUGAGACAGGGGGGGACAAAUAAAAUAGGAGAGCAAUUGGCAGAAAGGAAGAGACUUAUGUCCCAGAACAACCCUAAAGUCUUCACUCCCUCCAGAAUCCUCUCGCUGUGAAACGCCUCAGUAAGAGAACAGCGACUUCACAGACCAGCCUGUCACAUCCUCUGACAUGUGUCCACUCCCUCUGAGGUUUCUUCCUUCAGCUACAGCACACAGCCAUCUUCCACUGUUACAUCAAUGCAUCUGCUGACGCAAGCAGCAGAAAAUAGGCAAAAAUAAAAUUCGAUAUGAUGUA